rnacentral:rRNA from 1 species
CCGAGCUCAAAGCAGGUAGGAGUAG